rnacentral:rRNA from 1 species
GGUGGUGCAUGGCCGUUCUUAGUUGGUGGAGUGAUUUGUCUGGUUAAUUCCGAUAACGAACGAGACCUUAACCUGCUAACUAGUAUCUUUUAUUCUAUAAAAGCUUUCUUCUUAGAGGGACUAUGUAAAACAAAUACAUGGAAGUUUGAGGCAAUAACAGGUCAGUGAUGCCCUUAUAUGUCCUGGGCUGCACGCGUGCUACACUGAUGUAUACAACAAGUGCCUAACCAGAUAUGGUAUGGCAAUCUCGAAUAUGCAUCGUGAUGGGGAUAGAUCUUUGCAAUUA